GGGUAGUUUGACUGGGGCGGUCUCCUCCUAAAGAGUAACGGAGGAGCACGAAGGUUGGCUAAUCCUGGUCGGACAUCAGGAGGUUAGUGCAAUGGCAUAAGCCAGCUUGACUGCGAGCGUGACGGCGCGAGCAGGUGCGAAAGCAGGUCAUAGUGAUCCGGUGGUUCUGAAUGGAAGGGCCAUCGCUCAACGGAUAAAAGGUACUCCGGGGAUAACAGGCUGAUACCGCCCAAGAGUUCAUAUCGACGGCGGUGUUUGGCACCUCGAUGUCGGCUCAUCACAUCCUGGGGCUGAAGUAGGUCCCAAGGGUAUGGCUGUUCGCCAUUUAAAGUGGUACGCGAGCUGGGUUUAGAACGUCGUGAGACAGUUCGGUCCCUAUCUGCCGUGGGCGCUGGAGAACUGAGGGGGGCUGCUCCUAGUACGAGAGGACCGGAGUGGACGCAUCACUGGUGUUCGGGUUGUCAUGCCAAUGGCACUGCCCGGUAGCUAAAUGCGGAAGAGAUAAGUGCUGAAAGCAUCUAAGCACGAAACUUGCCCCGAGAUGAGUUCUCCCUGACUCCUUGAGAGUCCUGAAGGAACGUUGAAGACGACGACGUUGAUAGGCCGGGUGUGUAAGCGCAGCGAUGCGUUGAGCUAACCGGUACUAAUGAACCGUGAGGCUUAACCUUACAA
rnacentral:rRNA from 1 species